CCUACGGGUGGCUGCAGUGGGGAAUAUUGCACAAUGGGCGCAAGCCUGAUGCAGCCAUGCCGCGUGUGUGAAGAAGGCCUUCGGGUUGUAAAGCACUUUCAGCGGGGAGGAAGGCGUUAAGGUUAAUAACCUUGUCGAUUGACGUUACCCGCAGAAGAAGCACCGGCUAACUCCGUGCCAGCAGCCGCGGUAAUACGGAGGGUGCAAGCGUUAAUCGGAAUUACUGGGCGUAAAGCGCACGCAGGCGGUCUGUCAAGUCGGAUGUGAAAUCCCCGGGCUCAACCUGGGAACUGCAUUCGAAACUGGCAGGCUAGAGUCUUGUAGAGGGGGGUAGAACUCCAGGUGUAGCGGUGAAAUGCGUAGAGAUCUGGAGGAAUACCGGUGGCGAAGGCGGCCCCCUGGGCAAAGACUGACGCUCAGGUGCGAAAGCGUGGGGAGCAAACAGGAUUAGAUACCCGGGUAGUC
rnacentral:rRNA from 1 species